AUCUACGGCCAUACCACCCUGAACAUGCCCGAUCUUAUCUGAUCUCGGAAGCUAAGCAGGGUCAGGUUUGGUUAGUACUUGGAUGGGAGAAAUGAGAAUAACAGUUAACUCCCUUUU
rfam:Erinaceus europaeus unplaced genomic scaffold scaffold00514, whole genome shotgun sequence